CCUUCUAAAGCAGCGCAAGUCGGC
rnacentral:sRNA from 1 species